rnacentral:lncRNA from 1 species
CCUGCUGCUUUUUCCUGUUACUUCUGUCCUCACCCGGCAUAAAUUUACUCGUGAUCUGCUCAUGACAGCUUCAUUCCAUUGCUUCUUCAGGCAUGACUUUCGAUGGAUCCUUGGAAACUGCUGCCCCCAAAGCACACUUGACAGUGAUUCAGUAGAAUAACCAGAGCUAGUAGAUGUCCGCUGGGGAACCUUAUUGAAGGAUUCAUCACGUGACUGAAUGCUUGAUUCAGAAAACACUGGGAAUGGCACUUGUAGAACCUGCACGACAUAGAGUACUCUCACAUCGCCAAAGAGGGAUCUUUU